UAGUUUGAUCCUGGCUCAGGACGAACGCUGGCGGCGUGCUUAACACAUGCAAGUCGAGCGAUGAAGUUUCUUCGGAAAUGGAUUAGCGGCGAACGGGUGAGUAACACGUGAGGAAUCUGCCCUUCACUUUGGAAUAACUCCGGGAAACCGGAGCUAAUACCGGAUAAGAACUCUGGCGGCAUCGCCGGAGUUGGAAAGUUUUUCGGUGAAGGAUGACCUCGCGGCCUAUCAGCUUGUUGGUGAGGUAAUGGCUCACCAAGGCGACGACGGGUAGCCGGCCUGAGAGGGCGACCGGCCACACUGGGACUGAGACACGGCCCAGACUCCUACGGGAGGCAGCAGUGGGGAAUAUUGGGCAAUGGGCGAAAGCCUGACCCAGCGACGCCGCGUGCGGGAUGAAGGCCUUCGGGUUGUAAACCGCUUUCAGCAGGGAAGAAGCGAAAGUGACGGUACCUGAAGAAGAAGCACCGGCUAACUAUGUGCCAGCAGCCGCGGUAAUACAUAGGGUG
rnacentral:rRNA from 1 species